UAUAAGGUGAUGGGGUGCGUA
rnacentral:siRNA from 1 species